GAAUUUUCCCGCUCAAAGUUUCUAUGUGAAGUUCCAAAAACACCCUUUCUACCUCUUAAUAUCCCUAUUUGCGUUCGUUCUCGCUCUGGCAUCGGAAACAAUUAAGAGUUUCCAACUUUUAAUGCUAUAAAUCAGCCUCUAAUUUCCAGAAAUAAGGGAUGUAAUCCCAUAAAAGUGAUUUGGUUUUCAAAUUUCAACCCUAAAGGAUCGCUUCUUCUUCUUCUUAUUCAAUGGUUAUGAUAUAGAUUUGAAGCGAUAAUUGAAGAUGGAGAGUGUUUGGGAAGAACCGCAUGAUGGACUGGUUGCUGGAUGUUUCUAUGAGCUGUUAUCAUCUUUAUUCUUAGAUCCAUCAGUAUGUUUGGUCACCGGGUGAUCUUAUUCUUUUCCCUUUUUUCUUAACCCAAGACACCUUUUGCUUAAUGUCAUUCCAUCUUUCAAAAUAAGAGUUUGUAUGCUUCACUUUUAUAGCCCUUACAAGCAGCUUCAAAGGGACGAGACAAAGACUACAAUAUCCAAUCUUGAAUUUUAAGCUCUAACGAUAGGGCAUGUGACAAAGUGAAUUGAACCAUAAAUGAUGCUUCUCAACCAUUAUAAACACGUCCAUGUGAAUGAAAUUGUUAUUUAAUGUUUUGGAAUUCAAUGGAUAUCAAAUAUGUUUAGAAGCGGAGAAUCUUUUUACCAAAGACAAAAGAAUUCAAGUGGUUUGUUCCCUUAAGGAAAUGACUAAUGCAACUCUUCCUAAUAUCUCAAUGCUCUUGAAACAGAUCAUAAAUUAUAUAAACUAGCCAUAAAGAGAGAAUGCUAACUGUUCGGACCGGUGAUGAAAGUGGUUGCAAACAUGAUGUUUACACCAGUUUCAGCUUUCUGGCUAUAGCAAUUAUUGUGAGUAGUACUCUUUGUAGCUUAGCAUUUGGUUUCUUUGGGCCAAUGUUUGGAAAUUUUAAAGCUUUUAGUGAAAGGGAAUAUCAAUAUGUUUGUUCCCUGUUUUAUCUUAAGCAAACUACUUUCACUUAAAAUAUUAUGUCUAUUGUUUUGUUUAUUAAGUCAACAAAACAUAUGAAACUUUAGACAUUUUAUCAUAAAGGAGUUUUACAUUUUUCAAAAACUUAUUUGAUGUAUGCUUCUAUUCAUUCUUCUCCAUGAUGGUUAGAUGCUAAAGUUGAGAUCAUCAUCGUGUAAAUGUGAUUAUGAUUAUUAUUUUCUUUCUUGAUGUAUAUUGUGAUCUUUUAUGGGGUGGUUUAUUGUUUAGUAUCCACUGCGCUAGGAUUAGUAUGAGUCUUGGUAGACUUUCCAGCAACUCACGGUUAUAACCACUUUGAAAAGUCCAGAGAUGUUGAAAUGGUGGCAUAAUUUGUUUCAUGAUUGUGUGACAUUUAGAGCUUUAGCCAUCUUGCAAAGACUAAUGGUUAUCGAUGGAGCCUUGUUAUGUUCAGUGAUUUCCUUAAUAUUUCAAGGUUUAUUUGAUCGUCUAUAAGAUCACUACAAUAAUGUUAUUUUUAUUAUCUUUUUGUGUCUUUGAAUACAGUUAGCAACUUCUGAUUCAUUUUCAUUGUUGAUAGGAACAACGUUUACAGGGAUGAUAGUAGUUAGUUUUCAAUACAUGAAGUGGUUAUUACAAGCUAUGGUUAUUGUCAUUGAUGAAAAAAUGAUAUAUCUUGAUCAUUCUUUGAUUUACAUGAGGAUUCAGGUAAAUUGUGCUUGCAGGAAGGUAAUGAGGGCACUGUGAGUAUUAGGAUUGGAAGCUUACUUAGAUGGGGAAGGGACCUACUUACACAUUUUAUUAACAUUUUUGCAUUUUAUUUUCUCAGUAACCAUAAAUCUGCCAUGGCUUCAGAAAAUUGUAAUUAUGGAUUUU